CUUAUUGCCAACAAGUACCCAUAAGGAGAAUUGAUUAAAAAAUUGAAAGAUAUUUUUUGUAUUCUAAACAGGUUGCCUUUCUCUGGAAGAGAAAGAAUAUUUCUGCCCUUUACUGGUAGAAUCUCACUCUGUAAUGGGAACAAAUCCAGGAGACAACAGCUAGCAGAAGCAAUUUUUGUGAGGUCCCUUCUGAGAGCAUUUCCCACACGACUCUGUCAAGGGAAUGCAGCUGCAGUUGUUCAUUGCUCUUAAAUACAGUGGGGAUUGCACUUUGUGACUAGAAAGAUGACUACACAAGAACACUGGCAACAGAUUUGUUUUGAAUCCUGCUCUGCAAAUGAUCUCUGUAAGGUGAAAUUGCAUUUCAUUGAAAAAUAGUGUCAUGGAUACAGGAGUACAGUUUGUCUUUAUCAUGUUCUUUUUUUAUGUGAAACUUGAUAAACUUGGAAGUGAGUAUUUUCAUACACAUGUCAACAAUAUUAAGUGGAAUGCAAUUUCUUUUCAGUAAAAUGCUGUGGGUGCUGGAUUUUAGGAAGUAAAAGAUACGAUCUCAAAAAGAGGGCUUCAAGAACCUCAAGAUGUUAUCUAGCCCAUGCUCCUAUUUUAGAUCCACUGUGCCUUAGCAUUGUUGAGAGAGGUUUUGCCUUGCUUUGCUCUCAGAAACAUCUAAUCACGAUAGUUACACAACCUCUUAUGACAUCUGUUUGAUUACUUGAUGACGUCUGUUUGAUCCCUACACCUAGAGUGGACUGGCCUAAUUGAAGAUUUCCUCUGAUGCCUUGCAGAAAGGCCUAUGCAGUUAGGAGACGUGCUGCAGCCUACAAGGCGGCCACUGCCCUACACUGAGCAGAAAUAUCUCAAAGCCCCUAUCUGAUAAUGUAGCCUCCAUGAGUUUCUGGGAAUUAUCAGUGAAUGCUGGGCAGAUCCUCAUCUUACAAAGCAAAACUUCUACAGCUUAAUCCGUCCAGAAUGCCAGCACCCCAUUUAUAUACUAAUGUUCUAUCUUUGCAAAGACAUAACACAAACAGUGUACUGCUUGCAACGCAAGCCACCCACCAUGUUACACAAAAAGAGACAAAGCUGAUGGUAAAACCAUUUAAAUAAUCAUGUACCAUUUUUAAAGAAAUUGAGACUCAGACUGUGGUUUGAAGGACUGAAAAUUAAAAAAAAAAAAAAUUGCAUGUAAAAUAAACAAAAAAAUAGAACUGACCAUAAACUUGAGAUGAAAUACUCUCCUAUAUUUGUCUUUUUGAUUUCUGCAUAUUUCUCUGCAUCACCUACAAUCCUAACAGAAUAUUCUUUUGGAAAGCUGGAUGUAUGUAUUUCAUCACUUUCCUCAAGUAACUUCUUUAUUCUCUAGAUUCUUUCUGUCUGCUCUACAUGCUG